GUCAGAGUUACAGGCAAGUCAACACAGAGAAGAUGAGAAACAAAGGGAUAAUUUACUUUAAGGAAAAUAAUUGUAGAUUGUGGCAAAGGAAAAGGAUCACUAUGAGGAAGUCAAGGAACAAGACUGAACACUCUCAUAAUGGAAACUUAAAUUGAAACUGAAAUUCCUAUCAUGCUUUUCAAAAACAAAAAUGUGGUAAUGCAAGCCAAGAUUUCACCUGAAUUAAAGGACUGCAUCAACCGGAUUAUAAAUGAACCUAAAGUUACCAUAAAACACGUAUCAUUUACCCUUCGAAAUCACUUGAAGAAUCAAGAAAGAUGCGUUCCAUCUUCACCAGUCAAGCACAGCUAUUCAUCAAAGUUGGCUCAUCACCAUCAUCCCUGCGUUUCUGCUGUACAUCACAGGUGAGAAUUAGAAUAAAAAUUCAUGUCACAUGCAGGUUGACGAACGGUGCGUUUGCCGUUUUUAGGUUCUUUCUCUGCUCCCGUGAGAGUCACAGUUAAAGGCUUUGUUGGAGACUCGAUCGUCUUGUCUUGUUCGAUCCCUGAAAGUGACGUUCAAGACAAAAUGGAAGAAUUCAGCGUGCACUGGAGAGAUGAUGACGGCAAGACUGUGUGGGACAUCACUGGAGGCAACAGACCAGUCGAAGUCCAAGUUUCGAAGUACAAAGACAGAAUCGAGACGUUUCCUGAGGAGUAUAAGAUGGGAAACUUCUCCGUCAAGCUCAGCGGUCUUCAAAAAACCGAUGCAAGGAAGUACCACUGUCACAUCACAGGACCUUCUCAGAAUCACGCCAUCACUGAGCUUCAAGUCGAAGAUGGACCGGAUGGAAGAGGAAACCAUGGAGAACUAUCAUGGAUUGUGUUGCUGAUCGGUUUUCUUUUCAUGUUUAUCUGAACUAUAAUUUAUUUAAGAGUUGUACACUCUCAGAAAUAAAGGUACAAAAGCUGUCACUGGGGAGCUAACUUUUUAAAAGGGACAUGUUCUUACCCAAAGGGUCCAAUUUGGUACCUUAAUGGUACAUAUUAGUACUUAAAGUGUAUAUAUUUGAACCUAAUACGUACAAAAGUGUUCCUUUUGAAAAGAUACCACCCCACUGACUUUAUUUCUUGCGUAUUUCAGUCAGCGAUUUUCAAGUAUCUUUGUGUAUUUUCAUUCAAAUUUCAGAAAUCAAGUCGAUCCCCUUGUUUUCAAGCAUUGCAUUACAUUAUUUUUAUCCAUUUCAAUCAUCAACAUGGCACUUGCCUUUUAUUCAUCUGUGUUUCUGCUAAAGAUGUAACCAUUUCAGUCAUUUGCCAUUUCUCUCAAUGUUAUGUGUGCAAUUAAAUAACAUCAACCCAGGUAAUAAACUGUAAAAUAAAAUUUUUAUGCUUC